UNAGAGAGAGAGAGAGAGAGAGAGAGAGAGAAAGGAAGAAAUACAAUUAACUUUUGCAUUUUUAUGGGCUUGGCAUUAAACAUUUUCUCUCUCUCUCUCUCUCUCUCUCUCUCUCGUU
rnacentral:misc_RNA from 12 species